UUGUUGGACUACAACUCCCAUCAUUCAAAGCUCACAACAACACCUCCUGCCACCCCUAAUGGGUAAGUGAGCUUUGAAUGAUGGGAGUUGUUGCCCAACAA